AUUGAACGCUGGCGGCAGGCCUAACACAUGCAAGUCGAACGAGUGGCGGACGGGUGAGUAAUGUCUGGGAAACUGACCGAUGGAGGGGGAUAACUACUGGAAACGGUAGCUAAUACCGCAUACAAUCGGAUGAGCCCAGAUGGGAUUAUCUAGUAGGUGGGGUAACGGCUCACCGAGGCGAAGAUCCCUAGCUGGUCUGAGAGGAUGAACAGCCACACUGGAACUGAGAAACGGUCCAGACUCCUACGGGAGGCAUCAGUGGGGAAUAUUGGACAAUGGGCGAAAGCCGGAUGCAGCCAUGCCGCGUGUAUGAAGAAGGCCUUCGGGUUGUAAAGUACUUUCAGCGAGGAGGCGUUACUCGCAGAAGAAGCACCGGCUAACUCCGUGCCAGCAGCCGCGGUAAUUC
rnacentral:rRNA from 1 species